CGGGGCGUGGCCAUAAGACUUUCCGAGCUCAGUCUGUCUGAGCGGAUCCCGAGCGUCUGCCUCGGUUUCCGGUUAAAAUCGCUCCGAGGCAGUUUCGGGCCAAGGCUUUCUGCCUCUGGCCCUUACAGACCUCAGUCGCCUUGCUGGUCGUUUUCCUGUCCUGAACCUUUCUGUGACUCCCGAGUCUCCCCCCUGCCCUCACCCCCAACCGUGUCGGGCACAGACGUCACCAGGGAGGUGGAUGCUCGUCAUUUGUCCCGCCGCGGGGAGGGCAGAGUGGGGACAGAGAUGCUGGGAAAGACGCAGAAACCUGCAGCGUUAGAGGGUCCUCAGUUUGCAGAGAAAGAACGGUGGGGAUUGAAACCGAGGCUGUAACAGAGUGUGUCAGACUGUUGGAGGGACACAGAAACGGACAAAAAGAGAAACAAGGACACAGACUUAACACGGAGAACAAACCACAUCAUGGUCUGGGACGAGGCACAGGACCCAAACCCAGUAUAACCUUACCUGAGAAAGACCCGAGGAAGAGGGGGAAAAGGAGAAAUGACUCUUUCUGAGUUUCUUUCUGUUACAAAGAAUGCCAUGGUGGCUGCUUCUGAGCAGGCUGACUUCACUUCAGACAUCUAAGGAUAUCCUAAGAUUGUAUAUCUUAAGCAUGACCAGGUUAAUGAUGGUCUUUCUGAGGAGGAUGGUGUUUCAGACAUUCCACUUAUUAAAUAAAGAUUUUAAAUCAACUGGCUUACACAUCCUCAGCCAAAGGAAAACAUGGAAUAGAACUAAGAAG